AACACGAGGACGCACAUGAAGAAUUGCUACUCCAGAGGAGCUUGAAGCUCAGGUUACUUAGGGUGUUUUUCUACUGUCAUGGCUAAAUGGGCUCAGUAUUUCCCAGCAGGCUGCUUUUUCUUUGUGUUUUCUACUGUCUCUGUGAAAUAGUUUUAGAGACUCUAUGAGGUAGUUAAGUUGGUAGUGCCUUCUCAGUACAGUAAAACCCUGGUGGUACAACUUCACCAUAUAGUAAUUUGGAAGUGACUCAAGUUCAGAAACUGGCUGGCAAUGCUCCAUGUCAUGGACCGUGGACACACUCUGCUGGCUGUAAGAGCCCCGCGGCCACCACCAGGUGUCCCCACAGAAGGCCGAAGGCCCUGGGCCCGUUCCCUCACCACCCAGCAAUCUGCUAGCAUUGCCCCUGCCUGAGCUGAAGGCAGGUUUUGGCUGCUGAGAAGAGCUCUCACAGCCAGUGCACAGCCUCCCUCCCCAUGGCAUCAGGACACAAAAUGGGGCAGGUGAGGAUACGUGCCUGCCUUUCUGUGGGGCUGGCUGGAGAUGUGGAGGAAUCAUCAAGAGCACUCAACUCCUGAUAGAGGACCGAGUGCUCUCAGGCACAGAGAUCCCAGCCCUCCCUCUGCUAAGGCCCACUGAAAUGCCCUUCUUUGGGAGGGAUCCACUGAAGGCCCACUCUGGGCAAGUGUGCAGGAUACUUGCUUAGAUCAUCACUCUGCUAGUGUUAAGCAACAUUUUUAAUAGAAAUUUCCGUGCUGACUUCAUUAACUUCAUGACAGCUAAACUCCAGGUUCAGUUUCCUAGGUGAGCAUUGCUCUUUCAGUCAAUGGGAGUUGGGCAUUGAGGUACCUGAUACUCCUUACAACCAAAUUCAACUUUAUAUGUGGUCCCAAGUGAUGAAGUUGUGAUUAAAUUUGCUUCCACAGAUUCAAUAAAUGUCAGGUUGUCUUAUUUGUUUUAAAUUUGCUUGUCCUUACUCUUUUAGCUCAAUACUCUGCCUAUUUACAUUUUGCUGAGUUGUGUAUGUUUAGGAUCUUUACACCUAUUAUAUUAGAAUGAAUUAGUUUUUCAGUUAGUGAAUAGUACAAGGAAUUGAGGAAAAGCACAUGCUGGUCUAUGUUUGAAAUAGUCCUUAGAUAAGUGGUUAUCAGUUCCUAUUCCUUAUUCUUUGUAGCAGAUUUUCCCUAAAUUAGCCAGGUCAGACAUGUGGAAGAAUAAUGAAGGAACUAAUUCCUGUAAACUGACUUAUGUUCAUUGUUGAACCCUUCUGCAAUAAAAACUGAAAUUGAACAAAUGGA